rnacentral:lncRNA from 10 species
AUCUAUAACUGGAGAUUGCCCUAAACACAACCACAACAAUCUGAUCUAGUUUGAGACACUUUAUGCCUGUAAUUGCGACUGCUUACUAAUGCUGACAAUACCCAAAAACUAAAAACUACAAGGAAUAUCCUUACAAGAAAUCUUGUAUUUUACAGAAGAGAUAUAGUAAGAGUGUGAUUAUUCUCAAUGCCUUAUCAGAGCUAUGCAGUUCUGCAUGGACAUUUACCUACUUGACAAACUUUCUUAUAGAUCAUUAACACCGAGAAGAUAGAUGUAAAAAGGCAAAAUUAUAGAGCAAUGCUUGGCUAGAAGCAACUGUCAAUCAAAGAUUACUCAAGCGGCCGGGCGCGGUGGCUCACACCUGUAAUCCCAGCACUUUGAGAGGCCGAGGCGGGCGAAUCAUGAGGUCAGGAGAUAGAGACCAUCCUGGCUAACACGGUGAUCCGCCCGUCUCAGCCUCCCAAAGUGCUGGGAUUACAGGCAUGAGCCACUGUGCCUGGCCUCUCUUUCUUUAAGAGACAGGGUCUCACUCCUUUGCCCAGGCUGG